rnacentral:rRNA from 1 species
AACGAACGCUGGCGGCAUGCCUAACACAUGCAAGUCGAACGAGACCUUCGGGUCUAGUGGCGCACGGGUGCGUAACGCGUGGGAACCUGCCCUUAGGUUCGGAAUAACUCCCCGAAAGGGGUGCUAAUACCGGAUAAUGUCCUCGGACCAAAGAUUUAUCGCCUUUGGAUGGGCCCGCGUUGGAUUAGCUAGUUGGUAGGGUAAAAGCCUACCAAGGCGACGAUCCAUAGCUGGUCUGAGAGGAUGAUCAGCCACACUGGGACUGAGACACGGCCCAGACUCCUACGGGAGGCAGCAGUGGGGAAUAUUGGACAAUGGGCGGAAGCCUGAUCCAGCAAUGCCGCGUGAGUGAUGAAGGCCUUAGGGUUGUAAAGCUCUUUUACCCGGGAUGAUAAUGACAGUACCGGGAGAAUAAGCACCGGCUAACUCCGUG